UCUGGCCUCCAAUCAGGUAGGACUACCCGCUGAACUUAAGCAUAUAAAG
rnacentral:rRNA from 1 species